CAAAAUAUAGUUUAUUUAAAAAAUAUUAAUUUUGGAAAUUAAGGAUAUAAAUAAAAAUUUUAUUUUUUUGA
rnacentral:tRNA from 1 species